rnacentral:hammerhead_ribozyme from 1 species
GUAUUGCUGAGGAGUCCUACGACAGGACGAAACGACCAUCCAGUAC